AACGAACGCUGGCGGCAUGCCUAACACAUGCAAGUCGAACGGGAUCCAGGCUUCGGCCUGGUGAGAGUGGCGGACGGGUGAGUAACACGUGGGAACCUGCCUUUUGGUUCGGGAUAACCGCGGGAAACUGCGGCUAAUACCGGAUGCUCCCGAGAGGGGAAAGAUUUAUCGCCAGAAGAGGGGCCCGCGUCCGAUUAGGUAGUUGGUGAGGUAAUGGCUCACCAAGCCGACGAUCGGUAGCUGGUCUGAGAGGAUGAUCAGCCACACUGGGACUGAGAUACGGCCCAGACUCCUACGGGAGGCAGCAGUGGGGAAUAUUGGGACAAUGGGGGCGAACCCUGAUCCAGCAAUGCCGCGUGAGUGAUGAAGGCCUUAGGGUUGUAAAGCUCUUUUGCCAGGGAAGAUGAUGACUGUACCUGGAGAAUAAGCCCCGGCUAACUUCGUGCCAGCAGCCGCGGUAAU
rnacentral:rRNA from 1 species